GUCACCGAUUUUCCACAACGGAUCGUCGGGCACGUACCUGCCCGUGGAAAGGAACAACG
rnacentral:ncRNA from 1 species